CCUACGGGAGGCAGCAGUGGGGAAUAUUGCACAAUGGGGGGAACCCUGAUGCAGCAAUGCCGCGUGGGUGAAGAAGCACUCCGGUGCGUAAAGCCCUGUUAGCAGGGAAGAAAAUGACAGUACCUGACCAAGAAGGCCCGGCAAACUACGCGCCAGCAGCCGUGGUAAUACGUAGGGGGCAAGCGUUAUCCGGAUUGACUGGGUGUAAAGGGAGCGCAGGCGGUAUGGCAAGUCAGAUGUGAAAACCCAGGGCCCAACCCGGGGACUGCAUUUGAAACUGCCAGACUGGAGUGCCGGAGAGGUAAGUGGAAUUCCUAGUGUAGCGGUGGAAUGCGUAGAUAUUAGGAAGAACACCGGUGGCGAAGGCAGCUUACUGGACGGUAACUGACGCUGAGGCUCGAAAGCGUGGGGAGCGAACAGGAUUAGAUACCCUUGUAGUC
rnacentral:rRNA from 1 species